AUUGAACGCUGGCGGCAGGCUUAACACAUGCAAGUCGAGCGAGCGGCGGACGGGUGAGUAAUCUCUGGGAAACUGCCUGAUGGAGGGGGAUCACUACUGGAAACGGUAGCUAAUACCGCAUACCAUCAGAUGUGCCCAGAUGGGAUUAGCUAGUAGGUGGGGUAAAGGCUCACCUAGGCGACGAUCCCUAGCUGGUCUGAGAGGAUGACCGCCCAGUCUGGGACUGAGACACGGUCCAUACUCCUGAGGGAGGCAGAAGUGGGGAAUAAGGCACAAAGGGCGCAAGCCGGAUGCAGCCAUGCCGCGUGUGUGAAGAAGGCCUUCGGGUUGUAAAGCACUGUCAGCGAGGAGGCGUUACUCGCAGAAGAAGCACCGGCUAACUCCGUGCCAGCAGCCGCGGUAAUUC
rnacentral:rRNA from 1 species